AACGAACGCUGGCGGCAUGCCUAACACAUGCAAGUCGAACGAAACCUUCGGGUCUAGUGGCUACCGGGUGGGUAACCCGGUGGAAACUGCCCGUAUGAUCGGAAUAACUCCUCGGGAGAGGUUCUAAUACCGGGGAAUGUCUUCGGACAAAAGAUUUUGCGGCUUGGUGUGGGCCGGCGUUGGUUUAGCUAGUUGGUAGGGUAAAAGGCUACUAAGGCGAGGAUCCAUAGCUGGUCUGAGAGGAUGCUCAGCCGCACUGGGACUGAGACCAGGCACCGACUCCUACGGGAAGCAGCAGUGGGGACUAUUGGAGUAUGGGCGAGAGGCUGAACCACCAAUGGCGGGUGAGUGAUGAAGGGCUUAGGGUCGUAAAGCUCUCUUGACCGGGAUGAUAAUGACAGUAGCGGGUGAAUAAGCACCGGCUAACUACGUG
rnacentral:rRNA from 1 species